GAGAGAUGUAAGUGCAAAACGUUGCCUGUUAAACCCCUUGGGCUGCUCCCUUGCUUUGCAAUUGGAGUCGCCACAGCAAAUCCGAGGUGGAUCUGAAUGUUGAAUUGGCACAGGUUUUAUGCCGGAUGCCCUUCCUGAUGCAACUCCACUUUAAAUGGAGAAAUGUGGAAGGAGUGGGGU